UACGUAGGGUGCAAGCGUUACUCGGAAUUACUGGGCGUAAAGCGUGCGCAGGCGGUUAUGCAAGACAGAUGGGAAAUCCCCGGGCUCAACCUGGGAACUGCAUUUGUGACUGCAUGGCUAGAGUACGGUAGAGGGGGAUGGAAUUCCGCGUGUAGCAGUGAAAUGCGUAGAUAUGCGGAGGAACACCGAUGGCGAAGGCAAUCCCCUGGACCUGUACUGACGCUCAUGCACGAAAGCGUGGGGAGCAAACAGG
rnacentral:rRNA from 1 species